rnacentral:rRNA from 1 species
UACGUAGGGUGCAAGCGUUAAUCGGAAUUACUGGGCGUAAAGCGUGCGCAGGCGGUUGUGUAAGACAGAUGUGAAAUCCCCGGGCUCAACCUGGGAACUGCAUUUGUGACUGCACAGCUGGAGUGCGGCAGAGGGGGAUGGAAUUCCGCGUGUAGCAGUGAAAUGCGUAGAUAUGCGGAGGAACACCGAUGGCGAAGGCAAUCCCCUGGGCCUGCACUGACGCUCAUGCACGAAGCGUGGGGAGCAAACAGG